UACGAGUGGUGCAAGCGUUAUUCGGAUUUAUUGGGCGUAAAGGGUGUGCAGACUGUUUUUUAAGUCACUUGUUAAAUUCUCCGGCUUAACCGGAGGUCAGCGAGUGAAACUAAUAAGCUAGAGGGUGGAAGAGAGAAGUGGAAUUCUCGGAGUAGCGGUAAAAUGCGUAGAUAUCAGGAGGAACACCGAUGGCGAAGGCAGGUCUCUGGGCCGACUA
rnacentral:rRNA from 1 species